rnacentral:rRNA from 1 species
AGCAGCCGCGGUAAUUCCAGCUCCAAUAGCGUAUAUUAAAAGUUGUUGCAGUUAAAAAGCUCGUAGUUGAAUUUCGGGAUCAAUUAAUCGGUCGUGCCUCUGGUACGCACUGGUUUUAUUGGUUUCUCCCUUCUGACGAACCAGGAUGUCAUUAAUUUGGUGUCUUGGAGAAUCAGGACUGUUACUUUGAAAAAUUAGAGUGUUUAAAGCAGGCUAACGCUUGAAUACAUUAGCAUGGAAUAAUGAAAUAGGACGUUUGAUCCUAUUUUGUGGUUUCUAGGAUCGACGUAAUGAUUAAUAGGGAUAGUUGGGGCAUUAGUAUUCAAUUGUCAGAGGUUGAAAUUCUUGGGAUUUUUAUUGAAGACUAACUACUGCGAAAAGCAUUUUGCCAAGGAUGUUUUACAUUAAUCAAGAACGAAAGUUUAGGGGAUUCGAAGACGAUCAGAUACCGUCGUAGUCUUAAACCAUAAAACCUAUGCCCGACUAGGGAUCGGAUGAUGUAAUUUUAAUGACUCAUUCG